CCCAUCAGCUCCUGCUUGGGCACAGCCCCGCAGCCACCUCCUCUGCCCCACCACAAAGACUUGCAGAACCCAAAUCCUUGCCUUCUGCCUCCAAAACACACUGCAUCCCGCGGUGCAGAGGCAGGCUGGAGGUGGAGAGAGGUUUUCAGGGCUGGGGCUUGUUGACCUCCUCUCCAGCCUGUGUCAGAGGAAGGGGAGACAGCAGAUUGAUUUCCUAUCAUAAACCCCUUCCUGCUGUGAAGAGGAGAAGACCCGUUCCUAUGCUGCUUGCAGACGGACCAACAUUGGAACUAUUUUGGGUUGACUUUGUGCCCCAACCUAAGCAGAGACAGGGUGGUAGAGGGACAAGGUAACCUCCAGGUAACAUGCGCUGACCCACUGCUGGAGGACAACGUGGCGUGGAGGAUAAUGAGGCAAAUGCCACGGCUCUACUUCCAGAACCACCUCCUCCUACUGGGAUCAAACGUCGGAGCAAGCUGAGUGCUUCAUUCAAAGGGCUGGUGGGGUCAAGCCUUUUGUUGUAGGCUUGUUUUAUGUUACAGGGAAAUUCUAGAUAGAUCUGUCCUGAGAGCUCCUCUGUUCAAUCGGUUUGAGGCGUGCAAUGUGUGACCUGGGGGAUGAACUGGGAUGCUCCUCAGCAGGGUCAGGACGUGGCAACCUGUGGGAUUCAUCCUGCCGUGGGGCACAGCAGCCCUGCAGGGGGAUCUGGCCAGGCUAGGGGAAUGGAAAUUUUCUAGCAGGAGAUGUGGGGUUUUAACAAGGACAAAAGCAAGCCCCUGUCCCUGGGAUGGACUAAGGUGCUUAGAAAUAAGUGUUGGGGUGGGUUUGGCAGGAGGCUGCCAGGGUGUUGGUGGGGCUGGAGGGAAGAGAGGCUGGAGGCUUGGUCGGGCUGUGCUGAGAGGAGGAGAGGAGAGGGGAAUAGGCUGGAACAGGGCAGGAUCCAGUGUGGUGUAAGGAAAUACAGUCACUGUGGGGGUGAAUGAGCAGUGCACCGGGGCCAAGAGAGCUGGAGGGAUCCCUGUCCCUGGAGGUUUUUGGGAACUGACCGGGGAAAUCCCUGAGCAACCCAGCCAGAGCCCUGGGCCAAGCUUACCGUGGGCAGAAGGUUGGGUUAAAGACCUCCUGGAGUCCCUUCCCACCUGAAAUUCCCGCAGUUCUGUGCUGCUGCUGUGCUGCAGGGGGCCGAAACUGCCUCUCGUGCUCUGCCUGGCACGGCAAAUCCUCCCAGUGCUUCUCACACUGGACUGAGUGUGAGUGAGUUUCAGAGUCCAGUUCCCAUAUUUCUGCUUCAAACCCUGCCGACCACACCUGAAACUCAUCAGGAGGUGGCACAGUUUGGUUGCAAAACAAUACAUUUACUUUACAUCUGAAAUAUCUCGUAAAAUCCAAAACAAAGACAGAAGACACCCGAUUUUCCCCCUCUGCCCCGAGCCUUGCCUCACUUUACCAAGCUGCCAUCGCUUAAAGCUCCUCAUUCCCCACGCAGGGGUCGCGACACCUAUUAAUCAUGCUGAAGAGCCCCUCAAUUAUCUGAAACCACGAUUACCCCAGCCCGUUCCACGUCCCCCGUGACAUUUGGAUAACUGAGGUUGUUCUGUAUUAUUAUUAUUUUUCAAUUGUGGUAAUUAUUGUACAUUAAACCAUUAGCAUUCAUUACUCCUACAGUGUGUAAUUAGAACAAUGGUGGAUGGAUUGCUACCGACUCUAAUGAAGUUUUUAUAAUUGUAAUUUAUGGCCGUCAAAUUACCUUUCUUAAAAAUGAAGCCUAAUAUUAGCCUCUUAAGUUAUGGGGAGGGGGUGGUAAUUACUUCUAAUUGAUGGUUCUUGUUUGCUCUGCAGACGGAGCAACG